rnacentral:lncRNA from 1 species
CUGAGUACGGCCUUCGAAAAGUGCAUGAAGGAGUAUGUGGGGUCCUUUGGGUGGCAAAUCAUUGGCCUACAAGAUUUUUCAAUUGAGAUACUACUAGCCCACAAUGCAGGAUGAUGCAACUGAUUUCGUCAAAUGAUGCGAUUGAUAUUAACGAAAUGCAAAUGUUCAGCAUCAGUCGGCUAUCCCAUUGGCUCCGAUAGCUGCUCCUUGGCCAUUCACAUAGUGAGGGAUGGAUAUCCUAGACCCUUUUUCACUAACAUCGGAUC